rnacentral:rRNA from 1 species
AUACGGAGGGUGCGAGCGUUAUCCGGAAUUACUGGGUUUAAAGGGUGCGUAGGCGGCCUGGUAAGUCAGGGGUGAAAGUCCAGGGCUUAACCGUGGGAUUGCCUUUGAUACUGCUGGGCUUGAAUGAGGUUGAGGUGGGCGGAAUGUGGCAUGUAACGGUGAAAUGUGUAGAUAUGCCAUAGAACACCGAUUGCGAAGGCAGCUCACCGGACCUUUAUUGACGCUGAGGCACGAAAGCGUGGGGAGCGAACAGGAUUAGAAACCCUUGUAGUCC